AUAGCAUUUUAAAACAGCCUCUUUAAAACUGAAUCAAAACAUUCAACUCUAAUGCAGCCAAUCAGAAUCAUAAAAGGGGAGAUUAUUUAAAAAAUUGUCAUUCAAAUACUUGUCACUGUGUUAUAUAGACCUGGAAUAUGCUAUUCUGUACAAAGUGGGGUUAAAAAGACAAGUGACAGGAUGCAAUGUAUGCUUUACCUUAAACUCAUAGGUGCACUUGGCACCACCAUGGGGGUGAAUGAAACCACAAGGCACCAAACCAACGUAACAACAGUGGAUGGAGAAGUACAGCAAUGCUCAACCUGCGAGUUCAGAGAACAGAACAGACUAAUGAGACUCGCAACAUCAGAUCCCAAAUUCUCAGCAUUCUGAGGCUCGAGCAGGCUCCAAACAAACAUCAGCAGAUAAAUGAUCAGGCAGCUCUUACCAAAAGCUCCCAUCCUUUCACAAUUUACAGACCAGUAUGAGCAUCGUGUGGAGGGUGAGGAGCGUGCCCCAACUGAAACGAUCAUAUCCAUGGCAACACCUGGACCAAUGUCACAACAAGACGGAAUACCAUCUUGUUGUUUCUUCAAUCUCAGUCCGAAGAUUCGACCUAACAACAUUUUACAUGCACAACUUUGGGUGAACCUGCGGCCGGCUGAGGGAAACUCGCGCAUACGGAUCCUCUCCCUGAAAAUCGAUGUGGCUUCUGGUGCAAGCUCUUGGCAAAGUGUAGACAUAAAUCAAUUACUCAAAACCUGGCUUCAUCAGCCCGAAACUCAUUAUGGUCUCGAGAUCAAAGCUUAUGAUUCGAAAAGGCAGGAUUUAGCUGUCACAGUAGCAGAGUUGGGAGAAGAGGGACUGCAACCCUUCAUGGAGGUGAAGAUAUCGGAGAACCUAAAGCGUUCCCGGAGGGACUCAGCCCUGGACUGUGAUGAGGAGUCCUCAGAGACGCUGUGUUGCCGCUACCCCCUCACCGUCGACUUUGAGGCCUUUGGCUGGGACUGGAUCAUUGCCCCCAAACGCUACAAGGCCAACUACUGUUCUGGAGAGUGUGAGUACAUGCACCUCCAGAAGUACCCCCACACUCACCUGGUGAACAAGGCUAGCGCCCGGGGUACCACAGGGCCCUGUUGUACUCCAACUAAGAUGUCCUCCAUCAACAUGCUCUACUUCAACCGCAUGGAGCAGAUCAUUUAUGGGAAGAUACCAUCUAUGGUGGUGGACCACUGUGGCUGCUCCUGAGCGGGAGGAUGAGAGGACAGGACAAAACACACACGCACAUUGUGUUGUGUAAUGAGUUAAAAAAGUUAUCCCAAAGUGAACCCUCUUACAAGAAUCCAUAAUAUUUUUGCAUAAACGGCUACAGGAGACAUGUGAAGUUUGAAAAACAUGAACCUUUUGCUCUGAGUGAGGACAUGAACUGCCCAUACUCUCCCCCCAAGGUUCGUCCCGCAAUGUGGCUGGAACUGCUAGAAAUAUUUAAGGACACAUAACACAAUUGUCAUAGGAGUGCAAAACCUGCACUGAAACAGAUGUCCCCGAUAUUGUGGAUCACAGGAUUUUGGAACAGCUUGGUGGUCCUCAGAACACAGUGUCACAUACAGAGCUACUCUAAUAGCCUACAUGAAUUGAAACCAAAAAUGGUAUGUUCCUUAUGUAGCUAAAUGUUUCAGGCCUAUAGUCAUAUUAUAUUGUGAUCAGUUUAGCCUACAGAUUAUGCUAGGCAUUAGAGCUUUCCUAGUACCAUAUCAACUCAAAUCAAUUCAUAUUUGGCACACGGUCAAAUAUUAUUGCACUGGUGGAGCUAGGAAAACAAUAACAACUGCUAAAUAUUUGUAUGUGACCAAUAAUUAAGGUUGCACAUUUUGGGGAUUUUUCAGAGGUGGAAACUUUCUGUGGGAAUUAACAGAAAUAUAUGGGAAUUAACAGAAAUAUUUUUUAAUUAAUAUUAAUACCAUUUAAAUGUAGAUUUUUUUGCAUUGGAUAUACAGUAUUUACCAUAUCAUAUGGAGAAAGAAACAUUUUAAACCUUGUAAAAAAGGG